rnacentral:tRNA from 1 species
UGGGCAGUUACCAAAGUGGCCAAAUGGGACUGACUGUAAAUCAGUUGCGAGAGCUUCGGAGGUUCGAAUCCUCCACUGCCCACCCA